rnacentral:rRNA from 1 species
UACGUAGGGCGCAAGCGUUGUCCGGAAUUAUUGGGCGUAAAGAGCUCGUAGGCGGUCUGUUGCGUCUGCCGUGAAAACCCGAGGCUUAACCUCGGGCCUGCGGUGGAUACGGGCAGACUAGAGGUAGGUAGGGGAGAACGGAAUUCCCGGUGUAGCGGUGAAAUGCGCAGAUAUCGGGAGGAACACCGGUGGCGAAGGCGGUUCUCUGGGCCUUACCUGACGCUGAGGAGCGAAAGCGUAGGGGAGCGAACAGG